rnacentral:rRNA from 1 species
CAGCCUGCCAGUGACUAAGUUCAACGGCCGCGGUAUCCUAACCGUGCGAAGGUAGCGUAAUCACUUGUUCUUUAAAUGAGGACUAGUAUGAAUGGCACCACGAAGGUUAUGCUGUCUCCUUUUUCUAAUCAAUGAAACUGAUCUCCCCGUGAAGAAGCGGGGAUACAACUAUAAGACGAGAAGACCCUAUGGAGCUUUAAACCAUGUAACACUGGCUCAUACAUUAAAAUAUUCCAGAAUUUCUAAUAAUUACUCUAGCCACCAUGAUUACUAGUUUUAGGUUGGGGUGACCACGGAGCAAAAAUUAACCUCCAUGUUAAACGGAGCUACUCCUGAGCCAUAAGCCACGACUUUAAGCACUAAUAAAUUAAUAUUAAUUGACCCAAUAUUUUUGAUCAACGAACCAAGUUACCCUAGGGAUAACAGCGCA